rnacentral:miRNA from 1 species
UGAGAGGACCAGUAUUCCAAAAAUGGUUGUUCUUUAUUUCUUUAUAAUCGUAGUUUCCCUAGUUUUUUACAUACAUGUUCAUCAUAUAGGAGUCUGAGUAAAGAAAUAAAGAACAACCAUUUUUGGAAUACUGGUCCUCUCA